AGCACGAUGUCUUAAAGAUUAGAUAAAGAUAAUGCGAAUCGGAUCGAAUGGAAUUUGUCAGCAUUUUCUUAUACGAUCCGAAGAAACUCGUGAAUAGACAUCAUCAGGUGUUGCUUCCAGAUUUGCAUCAAAAUUAUAUUGCAGAUUGAAGAUUAAUGAAGAAUGUUGGGAACGAGCUCAAGGAAAUUCUAGAAGACUUUGGAAGUGAUUGAAUGACUGGCAAGCGGCAAGUCACGUAAAGAAGAAACGUGCCUGGCAUCCAAACUCGAAGCUUGCGUCGCGCGUUGAGUGCGCGGGGAAAAUUACAAUGACAGUACCUACGUUUAGCAACGUGGACCUCGAUUUUCAGCGACAUUUCAAAUACUACCAAAGAACGCGUACUCUCGGUUAUUAAUAAACAUAAAAAUGGGAAUUCGUUAUGAAGAAGUAUGCAGCUCCAGAAACACGUUUCAGUUGCAUCCCACUCACGGCGUCACACCGGAGGCUCGAUUCAAGGUGAUGCGCGGCUGGUACGCAGAGUGCGGCCGGAUGCACUGGCAAUAAUGUAUCCGCUAUCAAAUGACUUUGUCCUUCGAUACUAGUUCGCUUAGAUU